rnacentral:rRNA from 1 species
AGUGAACGCUGGCGGUAGGCCUAACACAUGCAAGUCGAACGGCAGCACAGUAAGAGCUUGCUCUUACGGGUGGCGAGUGGCGGACGGGUGAGGAAUACAUCGGAAUCUACUUUUUCGUGGGGGAUAACGUAGGGGAAACUACCGUAAAAACGGCAUACGCCCAACGGGGGAAGGCGGGGGUUCUUGGGACUUGGCGGGAUGGAAUGAGCCGAUGCCGGAUUAGCUAGUUGGCGGGGUAAGGGCCCACCAAGGCGACGAUCGGUAGCUGGUCUGAGAGGAUGAUCAGCCACACUGGAACUGAGACACGGUCCAGACUCCUACGGGAGGCAGCAGUGGGGAAUAUUGGACAAUGGGCGCAAGCCUGAUCCAGCCAUACCGCGUGGGUGAAGAAGGCCUUCGGGUUGUAAAGCCCUUUUGUUGGGAAAGAAAAGCAGCAGGUUAAUACCCCGCUGUUCUGACGGUACCCAAAGAAUAAGCACCGGCUAACUUCGUG